AAAAAAAAGAAAAGAGAUGUGGUUUUUACUUUGAUUACUGGUUGCCUUGCAGGAACAAAAACACAAUAUCCCAAAUCUGAGGAUUAUGUUGUUUUAAUUCUGAAAUUUGUUUUAUGUAAAACCGUACACGUUUUAAAUAGCUCAUUUUAUUUUCUAAAACACUGUCUAAAGAAAAAAACAAAAUAUAUUCACAUAAUGGCUCUUGCCUAAAGGCUGACGUUUUUGUCAUUUGAAUGAAGGGCUUUCUGAAUAUUUCAGCUUUAAUAAUUACUUGUGUGUGGUUAUUCCUUCAAAAAUUGCUAUUAUUCAUUCAAUAACAAUUCAAGCAAAGGUCUCCAUAAAUCAUCCAAAUAGCAUCAUAGAACCUAGGAGGAGAGGAAUUGCAUAGUGUUCUUCCAUCUCUAACUCCUCAAUCUCUGAUUCCACAGGCCCCAUCCUCUUCCAGAGUCCUGUGAAGCCACUUCAGUCACUGUGGAUAUGGUACAUUUACUUCCUUUCAGAAUGGGCCCAUAACUAACGAGAUAAUUCUGAUGUACAGUGAGGUUGAAGACCAAGGAUAUGGCUUAUAUGUGAAAGAUGAAGAUCAAAUGCAGUUCAAUCAUGAAAGCAACAUAAAUUCUACAGUAAGGACACAAUUUCAAUCUCAUCAUCUGAACACAUAUGACCAGGAAAAAUGUGAAAGGAAAAGUUCUUCCAGAAACUGAUGAGAUCAGAAAAAGAACACUGAGCUUAAAAGGAAGUGGAAAUAUGGACGAAGAAAAAAGGACAACUCCAAGAGAGGUCCUACAAGAGUGAUGGGACCUGAAGAGAAUGAGGAAAAGGGAUGACUGAAGGGGCGCUCCCUGUCCUCUGGCUCCAAGUGAAAUGAAGGGACCACUUAUAGAGAUGGAGAAUACAAAACAAAGACUAGGUACUGUUGUAGACAAGAUGAAUUCAAAAUGCUUAUGAGAAAUCUUAUCCAGUGGAAAACUAAUGUCUACUUAAAAACGAAGUAAAACUAGGACUAUUUCCACACAUUCUUUUUCUCCUUGUUUAUAGUAUAAAUCAUAAUUAGAUAUCAGUAAUUAAUGUAAUUACUGAAUAGGCUCAAAUUAAUACAGUGAUAUAUUGAUCUGUUUUAGAAAAUCAAUUUCAAAGUUUUACCUCUUCAUUUAUAUAGUUUUAACUGAUACAAUUUAUUUCUAAUGUGCCCUUAUCAGUCUACUCUUUGCUCUGUUAAUCUUGCAAUGGUCUUAGAUAACCAAAGAUUAUUUUUCUGGAUCAAUUCUUUGAAUACAGAUAUGGCUUUGUAAUAGCCAUUUUUCACAAAUAAAAUAGAAAUUUAUCUUUGUUAUAAACUCUAACUUAUACUAUUCCAUCAAACACAUUUUUUAAAUGGCUUGCAACAAUUCCUUCUGACCAAUUCAUUCUUCUAACACCUCCUAGGGCAAAAAAACAAUUCUAGAAGUGCAUGAAUAUUGAUUUCAACUUUCCAAACUCUUGGUGUUAAAUCAAAAACAACACUGGUAAAAAUUUAUA